rnacentral:rRNA from 1 species
AGCGACGCCGCGUGGGGGAUGAAGGCCUUCGGGUUGUAAACCCCUUUCAGCCAUGACGAAGCGAGAGUGACGGUUGUGGUAGAAGAAGCACCGGCUAACUACAUGCCAGCA